UAAUGUGGUCGUAUAAUACCUAAAAAGACAUGAUAUUUCAUCUCACUUGAACUGAAAAGUUAACAUGUGGCUAACGAUGUAUGGCCAAUGUGAUCUGAUUCGGUCCCUUAUUUUCCACCGCUGGACCUGGACAACAUCUAAGGAAUACGUUUGCUUUCCUAUUCCCCUAGGCCCUACCUCAUCGUGAACACCUCCACAGAAGAAACCAGCGACGACCUGCUAAUCAACGAUAGCCAUCGACGACCUGCUGCUCAGCGAACGUCUUCUUCCUCCGACGAACGUCCUCUUCCGAGCAGAUGAGUUUUUUUUGCUCGUUUUUUUGUUUGAUUGUUGCUGAGAUGUCUGAUUUUUGCUGCUCAUUUUUGGUUGUUUGAAUUUUGUAGGUUGAUUGAUGAUGCCCGCAAGGUGUUUGUUAAAUUGUCUGCUUGGAACACCAUUAUUGCUGGAUAAUCCUCUUCCUAGCAGAUGAGUUUUUUUUUUUUUUUGCUCGUUUUUUUUGCUUGAUUGUUGUUGAGAUGUCUGAUUUUUGCUACUCAUUUUUUGUUGUUUUGAAUUUUGUAGGUUGAUUGAUGAUGCCCGCAAGGUGUUUGUUAAAUUGCUUGCUUGGAACAACAUUAUUGCUAGAUAAGCUCAAAACGGUUUUGUAGGGAGGGCAAUGGAAUUGGUCUCACAGAUGGCUUUUCCCAUCACUACCCCCUGAUGUAGCUCCUCCGAUGUACAAACAAAUUUUGCAAAAAGAAAGGUGAUAUGAAUUGUAUGUCUAUAUACUUUAUAGAAAAAUUAUGAUGUAACUUGAGUGUUGUGCAUUACAACAUGAUAAAGAAUAUUUUAAUAUACUCUCAUUGUAUUUUGUACUUUCUAAGAAUACAAGGUUUUUGA